CAACUUUCAGCAACGGAUCUCUUGGCUCUCGCAUCGAUGAAGAACGCAGCGAAAUGCGAUAAGUAAUGUGAAUUGCAGAAUUCAGUGAAUCAUCAAAUCUUUGAACGCAUCUUGCGCUCCUUGGUAUUCUGAGGAGCAUGCCUGUUUGAGUGUCAUUU
rnacentral:rRNA from 1 species